CUUCAUGGUGUCAAGUGUGUUAGCAAAAUAUGCAAUAAUCAGAAGAAUAAAACAAAGAGUCAUUCUCGACAAUAAUGGCAUUUACUAAUGCAAACAUCUCAGUUUGGGGGGUUGAAAACUAGUGCCCCCAAGGUGAAAAUCUCAAAGAGUACCAGCGGUCCGGUGAGACCUGUCAGCCAGUCACCCAUCUUCUCCAGGCCCCCCAUCUUCUCCAGGCCCGAGUCCUCACUGGGUAGGUCCUCUGCUUUGGAGGUGAUCAACAGGGUGAUGGAGGACUCUAUUCAGCCCUCAUAGAGGCUCUACAUGUUCAGAGACCAGGACAAACAGACAGAGAGAGACCAUCCCAGGACUGGUGCAUCAUUUACAGACACAAGCGCUAUCUAAUCUUACCCUGGAGUUUGACUGUGGUGACCAAGAAGACCUCCCCAACACCCCAUCUCCAUCAGGAUAAUUCACUGAGGAGCCAAACCAACAAAACCACUCUAAACAGCCCAACCGAGUCCGAGUGAAGGGGAAAGGAUGACCAGGGAGUUGAGGGAUAUUGUCAGUCAGUUUAUGCAGAAGGGUCUCAGGUUCCAGGAUCCAGGCCCCUGUUUUUCCACUGGGGGUUUGAGACCAGAGGAGAGGGAAGAAGAGGAGGAGUAUGACGAAGAAGCCAGUGAGGUCCACAGGAUGAUGGUUUAGACCAGAGCUGUGAUCUCACUCCUGCUGACCCCCUACUGAACAGUACUGUACACAGCAGCGUCAGUCUACGCCUCUCACAAGGCUCCCUAGAGAGACUAGACAUCACCAACACGGAGGAAGAGGAGAGGAGCUCGGGUCUAUCUGAGGGGCCAGCUUAUGAUAUGGUUCUAGAGUAUUUGGCUUGCCAGUACCCGAUAUCGUGAGAUAGACUGUGGAUGCCUGACAACCUGCAGCAGAGCCCCCCUGAACCCAGACAGUGAGUGGGAUCUGGGAGGUAGUGUGAGUUUGGCUUGUCUCCUGCUCCUCUGUUGUCAAGACCCAGUCCCAGAGCAUCAUAGACCCUCACCACAUCCCAGAGGACAGUGAGACCAGAGACAGACAGUGGGUUUGGGAGCUCUGAUCUGAGUCGCCCAGCCACAGGACGAUCCCAACCAAAACUUCAUACAGAAAGGCUCCAGUUCCAGUCUGAUGGGGCCUCCAGUCCUGUGAGAAUGAGUGACAGCGAAGGCUCCUGCUCCAACCUGCAGACCACUAUCCAUCUGACUGGGGAUAUUGGAGAGAGGAGACCCAGUCUGCAGACCACUAUCCAUCUGACUGGAGAUAUUGGAGAGAGGAGACCCAGUCUGCAGACUACUAUCCAUCUGACUGGGGAUAUUGGAGAGAGGAGACCCAGUCUGCAGACUACUGUCUAUCUGACUGGGGAUAUUGGAGAGAGGAGACCCAGUCUGCAGACCACUAUCCAUCUGACUGGGGAUAUUGGAGAGAGGAGACCCAGUCUGCAGACUACUAUCCAUCUGACUGGAGAUAUUGGAGAGAGGAGACCCAGUCUGCAGACCACUAUCCAUCUGACUGGGGAUAUUGGAGAGAGGAGACCCAGUCUGCAGACUACUGUCUAUCUGACUGGGGAUAUUGGAGAGAGGAGACCCAGUCUGCAGACCACUAUCCAUCUGACUGGAGAUAUUGGAGAGAGGAGACCCAGUCUGCAGAUGCCUCCUCAGUUGUGCAGGACUGCAGUGGACUACUGGCUGACCAGACCUACUCAGAGUGUACCUGUUAAACUGCAUGUGAGGCGAUGCAGGUCCUACAUUCGGAGGUGUCCCAACUGAGGAGAGACCUGGAAGAGGGUCUGGUCCAGCUGCCUCACCUCUCCCAGAGGAUGGACUACCUUACCUCCAGAUACAGACAGAACAGAAGGCUUAAAACCUCUCCCAGAGGAUGGACUACCUUACCUCCAGAUACAGACAGAACAGAAGGCUUAUAACCUCUCCCAGAGGAUGGACUACCUUACCUCCAGAUACAGACAGAACAGAAGGCUUAAAACCUCUCCCAGAGGAUGGACUACCUUACCUCCAGAUACAGACAGAACAGAAGGCUUAAAACCUCUCCCAGAGGAUGGACUACCUUACCUCCAGAUACAGACAGAACAGAAGGCUUAAAACCAAGCUGUUGAUUCCUGCUAGUGCCAAUGUGUAAUUUAGUAUUAGUUCGGUUUGCAUGUAAUUGAGAUAUUGCUUAUAUUAGCAUGUAAUGUUAGUCAUUGUAAAUGUAAUCUUGGUUAACCCAGAACUAAAGUCUUACGUUAUUGGUCAGAUGCUCAAUGAAGUUCUUGGUCCAUACAUGUUAAGAGAAGUGAUGAAGAGAUGCUAGAAUGAGGAGUGGAACCAGAGUGAGGAGCUCCACCCUCUCUCUUUGUAUAGACAGUGUGGAGUCGGACCGCUCUGAGAACAUGCUGCCAUUCCACAGUACACCACUAGGUGUCAGGAGAGGGAGCAGCAAGCCCUACUCCUGCUAGGACAGACCAGGGAAAACCCAAAGCAAAAAACCCUCCAAUACAGUUUGCAGAAUUUGCCUUAAAGUUAUCUUCGGUGGUCCUGAAGGUAGUUGUGUGUGCUUCUCCAUCCAUCUUACCAUCCGAGAACUGUUCUCUGGAGACCUCCAAUCUCACCCACUCCAGUCCUCCAGCAUUCCAGCACUCAUACAAGAACCCAAGCUACAGAUCUCCAUGUAAGGACCAGCAACCAGUCCACUCCUGCCCAUAUGACACUGUCAUGACUGGGCCUCAUCAUGACUACUUUAUUCAUU
rnacentral:lncRNA from 1 species